CCCCCUGUGAGUGCAGGGGAGGUGGCCCCCUCCUUCCUGGAGCAGCUGGGUGGAUUCUCACUGAGGCCAGCCGUCCAUCAACCUGACUUCUUCCGGCUUCCUCUGCACAACGGCUCCCUAGAGCCCCCGUGAGACACUCCAGGAACCAGCUGCCUGUCAGGCACCUUAUUAAACUCAUUUCCAGAUGUCUCCACCUCAGCCCGAGGAAGCAGGAGGAGAGUGAAGGGUGAGAUGUGAUGGCUUCAUUUCCCUCCUGCCCACCAACCUGGGACUUAGCCUUUGGAGGGCUGACAGUACCGUAGGUGGGAUCCCUCUUCACUCACACUGACCAGCAGAGGAAGAAAUGGAGCCAGCAGGACUCAGCAGGGGCUGGAAGGAUAAGGAAGAGGGGUUGAAUUCACCAGGGAAUUUAUAGAGCUGAGUGAAGUGUGGGCCUCCUGGAGGUUUAUCUUGAGCAGCCACUCAGCAGCAGUGUCUGCUUAACCUUUCUGUGAUAUUUUGUUAUUGGUAUUGUUGGUUCUCUGCCUCACUGUACUCAUCAGCAAAAUGCAGAUAAAGAUAAGAGAUCAUAACUUAUAGGGUUGUUGUGUGUACAGUGCAUUAAUAUACUUCAUAGAUAUAAGUAGAUAAAUUUUUUUUGCUUAAACUGUUUCAUCGGUACAUUUUAGGUAUACAACAUGUUUACAUUUAUCAUUGGGUGCUUGUACCUGCUGUACAUGAUGUAUCUUGGUUCUUAUUUUUACCCCAUUUCCUGUGUGCCUGAUAAAUGUUAAUAUAUUAUUCAUUGCCUAGUUAAGUGCACAAUAAAUGUGAGCUUUUGUUGUUCAUACUAUUAAGAUUUUUAAAAAUAUAUGGACCGCUUCACGAAUUUACGUGCCAUCCUUGCACAGGGGCCAUGCUAAUCUUCUCUGUAUCCUUCUAAUUUUAGUAUAUGUGCUGCCAAAGAGAGCACUACUACUAAGAUUUUUGGAGUUUAAAGAAAAUGGAGUUUAAAGAGCAUUUCUCCCUGCAUGGAGUUCCUUGUAAAUCCUUGCUGUAGUUUGGAUCUUGAAUGUUCCUCAGAAGCCCAUGUAUUAGAGGCUUUGUUACUGGGAUGGAACUACUCGGAGAUGCUGGAAUCUUUGAGAGAUGAAGCCUCAUAGCAGCACCAUAGGUGGUGUUACCCUUAUAUGGAGACCCUAGAGGAUGUUGUAUAUUGGAGAAGACCCACUACACUGCUGGCCCUUAGUGAAGAAGUUGAAAAUGCCUGUGCAGCAGUCUCAGUGACCAAGGUUACCCGAGCAGCAGUUCGCUGAACUAAUAAACACCUGGAAGCUCACGGCCACCACUCGGAGCACCUCUUCUAAUUGUAGAGGCCAAAGGGUGGGGAAAGAUGGAGAGAAGGAAACCAUUGGGAAAAGAGAACACAGGUGCAGACUGUAGCUCUGCAUCUUCCAGGAGGACUUUAGAGAUGCUUGUUGGAGGGCAGAGAAAUGCAAAGCAGCACUGCUAGGACAUGAAAGAGGAGGGUGUGGAGGAGAGGAGAGUGCCUGUAAAGUAAAGGUGAUUAUGACCUAGUCUCUCUCAUCACUGAGACUUGGAACUCACGGAAUAAUGUACUGGGGAAUUUCUUAAUGACAUUCUGGCUUCUACAGAGGGAUGAAGUGACACAGCUCUUCAUAUUGAUGAAAGAAAAAUACAGAGGAGGACCCACCUGAGGUCCAGAUAGUACGAGAUUCAAAAAAACCUCAUGUUGUAUUUUGGAGAUUUAUCAUCAAAUUUCUCUCAUACUGGAGCUUCCAAAGUGAAUCACUGCUGUCUACUGCAGACCCAGCUCCUGACCAGGGCCCCCCAGCUGAGAAAACUAGGUGGAGCCACAGUUCGGAGGAGCCGAGGGGAAGGGCAAUGACCGCCAGGACUUUGGGAGAAGGGAUGAUGCUGAUAGCAAAGCCUUUCUUUCUUAUGGGGCUGAAGUGAAGUCAGAUGUGGAGUUGUGGGCACUGGAAAUCUAAGGAGAGGUUCCUAGAUUCUCACCUCCACAAACCAGUGCCUAUAGGGAGCAGCUGCAAAAACACCAAGGCACAGCCCCCUGGGUUUGCAAAUGCUAGCAUUACAGCCAGCAACCUUGGGCCUGAGGAGCAGGGCAUGAGGAAGAGUGCCUGGACAGCCCACAGGCUCUGGAACUCUGCUGCAUCUCAUCUCUGGGUCUUAUUUUGGCUUAUGGUCUGAGGUGGACUUAAUUCAAAUGAAGGUGAGGGUGUACUCGAGCAGCUUCAUCUUGUUACUUAGAAAACCCCAAGCAGAAUGAUAAAGCUUUUUUCCCUGAAAGCCCAGUCAAAGUCCUGGGGAAGGAUUUCAGGGACUCAAUGUGGCUCAUGUGGGUUCCUCUGAAGAAAGCAAACAGCCUUUUACUAGUCCCACUUCAUCAAGCUGCCCAGCCCUAGGAGCGGGAGUUAAGAGCAGUCUCUCCGAAACUCCACGAUGGCUCACUCAAGGGAAAUUAGAGUGAUCUCCAGGGAAGGGGAUGCUGGCCAGACAGAACCAAAGUGCCCUCUAACAGAUGGUAAGUGGCAGUGUGAAGAGGAUUUUCAUUCAGCUGUAGAUGAGGUUGGGAUCAGUCUUUAGCUAGUAUAAGCAAAUUAAGUUCUACAACAUACAAAUCAUGCAGGGUGUUGCAGAAAGACGUCAAGCUCUAGAAGGAAAGUGUCAUAGGUAAGUGUAAUUUAGUGAGAUUUCAGUCUUCUUCCUCUCCAAGUCUCCCCUUUGACUGUGUCUUGAUUGCACCCAACCCUUAUGUCCCUCUCUAUUUUACCUUGGUAAUCCCCUGCAGCACAUACUAAUACUGAGAAUAGUGCAAAUGAAGCAUUUGAAGGAC